GGCGGCAGGCCUAACACAUGCAAGUCGAGCGGAAACGAGUUAUCUGAACCUUCGGGGAACGAUAACGGCGUCGAGCGGCGGACGGGUGAGUAAUGCCUAGGAAAUUGCCCUGAUGUGGGGGAUAACCAUUGGAAACGAUGGCUAAUACCGCAUAACGCCUACGGGCCAAAGAGGGGGACCUUCGGGCCUCUCGCGUCAGGAUAUGCCUAGGUGGGAUUAGCUAGUUGGUGAGGUAAGGGCUCACCAAGGCGACGAUCCCUAGCUGGUCUGAGAGGAUGAUCAGCCACACUGGAACUGAGACACGGUCCAGACUCCUACGGGAGGCAGCAGUGGGGAAUAUUGCACAAUGGGCGCAAGCCUGAUGCAGCCAUGCCGCGUGUGUGAAGAAGGCCUUCGGGUUGUAAAGCACUUUCAGUCGUGAGGAAGGUAGUGUAGUUAAUAGCUGCAUUAUUUGACGUUAGCGACAGAAGAAGCACCGGCUAACUCCGUG
rnacentral:rRNA from 1 species